GUGAGGAAUAUUGGUCAAUGGACGAGAGUCUGAACCAGCCAAGUCGCGUGAAGGAAGACGGUUCUAUGAAUUGUAAACUUCUUUUGCAGGGGAAUAAAGUGCAGGACGUGUCCUGUUUUGUAUGUACCCUGAGAAUAAGGAUCGGCUAACUCCGUGCCAGCAGCCGCGGUAAUACGGAGGAUCCGAGCGUUCUCCGGAUUUAUUGGGUUUAACGGGUGCGUAGGUGGUUUGAUAAGUCAGCGGUGAAAGGUUGCAGCUUAACUGUAAAAAUGCCGUUGAAACUGUCGGACUUGAGUGUAAAUGAGGUAGGCGGAAUGCGUGGUGUAGCGGUGAAAUGCAUAGAUAUCACGCAGAACUCCGAUUGCGAAGGCAGCUUACUAAGCUACAACUGACACUGAAGCACGAAAGCGUGGGGAUCAAACAGGAUUAGAAACCCCUGUAGUCC
rnacentral:rRNA from 1 species